rnacentral:misc_RNA from 1 species
AAAGUCGUAACAAGGUUUCCGUAGGUGAACCUGCGGAAGGAUCAUUAACAAAAUCUACAACACUAACCCUGUUGAACUGUUAGGCAAGGCAGAGAGAGAGAGAGGUCAUCCUCCUCCUCAUCCAUCCGCCUCUCCCUCCUACUUAGCUUAGGUGGUAGGAGAAGAGAGGGGGAGAGGGUAGAGGGUCAAAGGACAGCAGGAGAGGGCCAGCACCCCUAGGGGUCAAGUCGCAUCGCAUCUCUGGCCUUUGGUCUACCUGGAGAGAGAGAGAGGGGGGGAGGGAGGACGGACAGAGGGCUUUCUCUCCUAGCGAGAGAUCGUCGUCGGCUCUUUGCUUUGCUGCCUUCGGGCACCUGAUAUUAGACAAUUGAUUAGACUGAUGUAACAACGAGAGAUAUCUCUAACGUUAACAACUUUUAACAAUGGAUCUCUCGGCUCUU